UCCCUGUUGCCAGGGCAGUUUGAGUAGAAAAAUUCAACUACUCACAAGGGUUGCGCUCGUUGAAGGACUUAACCUAACAUCUCACGACACGAGCUGACGACGGCCAUGCAUCAUCUGUCACCGAGUUCAAAUUGCACUCCCUCCUUUCGGAAGGAUUCUCGGGAUGUCAAGCCUGGGUAAGGUUCUUCGCUUACCAUCGAAUUAAACAACACGCUCCACCGCUUGUGCGGGUCCCCGUCAAUUCCUUUAUGUUUUAAGCUUGCGCUCGUACUCCACAGGCGGGAUGCUUAACGCGUUAGCUUCGCUACUACGGGGGUCGAUACCCAUAACAGCUAGCAUCCAUAGUUUACGGCGUGGACUAC
rnacentral:misc_RNA from 1 species